UAUGCGUUUAUAAUAUGUGCUCCAUUUCAUUUGUUUGGAUUGAAAUACAUGGAAUAGCAAAUGCCAAUGUUGUUAUUGGCAUUUAAUAACAUUUAAACCAUUUUGACAUUAAAGACUGGUAAACUCCUUUAUGAGGUUUGAUUCAAUUUGAGACAGAAACCUUUUAAAAUUUUGAUUAGAUUCAUAAGUAAGUAUCCUGACUUUUAAAUAGUUUUUUGCUGUAUUACGUCGUAUGUAUUCUGAUAGCUACCAUCUUUGUUUUGAGUUGUCAUCUUUUAUUUGUUUUCAUUUUGAACCACUUUGAGAUUUUUGACCUUUAAAAGCUGCUGUGUAGAAAAGCAAGUUUACUUACUCACUUAGGAAUAUCUCCAAGUCUGAAAAUAAUAUCUUCUCUUAAUUAGCUUCUUUCAUUUCUGUAUCUCUUGAUUUGAUUUCAAAAGACCUCACAAAUGCUGCAGUUAGCUAUCGUUGAGUUUUCUUAAGUAACUGCGCCAACACUGAAGAGUGUUGUUGGUUAUAUGAAGCCAUCAGUGGCUGGAAGGAUAUCAGAUUUUUGUGUUUUGUUAUUAUUAUUAUUAUUAUUGAGGUCAGAUGGGAUCAAAUGGUUGCAUGUCUAUAUGUUAAGAAGAUGAAUACAAACAGUUUGUUAAAAUAAAUUGAUUGUGAUUAUGCCUAAUAUUUUGUUAAUAAAGUCACCAGACAGCUUGGGAACCCAUUGAGUCAGAGAGACGAAGCAGCUAAAAUUCCCCAAUAAUUUGGUUACGGUGGUAUGAAAAUGACUGAUGAUUGAUGGAGGCAGCUUGCUGAUGGGUCCGCUUCAGAGCUGCUUCCUCCUAGUCGAUGAAGGAUUAUAUAAAGAGCUCAUCUCUGUACAUCCUGUAAAUGGCUCCCCAGUGUUUUACUGCGUCCACACCAUGGUGGGUCAUCUUCCAGCAAGAGGAAUUAUUACUAAUGAAAUCACUUCAGGCAUUUGACCUGGACAAGAAGGAGAAGGAAUUGACCACAGAGAUGUCGGAGGAGUCACUCUCAGCUGCAGAUUCCUUUUACAAUUAAAGACACACAGAGUUGUAUUCACACACACAUGCACACAUCCACCCUAGAACAUUCUUACCCUCAGACAACUCCAUCAUGUACAGAGCACCACCCUUUUACAUUCCUCCAGAGACAAACAAUCUGAUAGCAAACUGAUGGGAGACGAUAAAAACUGAGUAUUUUUAAAGGCGCCCAGCAUGUGAUGGAGCGGAGGAAAAACACCAAGCAGCAUUCUUUUUGAUAAAGAAAACACCACACAUGUUCCCUAGAGACUUUCACACGCAUUCACUCACAUUCACAGCUCUGCCCCGGUCAGCUCUAUCACACAAGACGGAGUCCACCUGUGUCGAUGGGAGCCUGUGUCAGGGCACCAUGUUCUGAAUGAGUCAUUGAUGGGAGUGUGCAUGAGUAUGUAGUCUCCCUGUCAAUCAAUUAUCCACAGAAAACUGUGUGUGUUGUUUUUUUUUAUCACAGUGUCAUCCUGGAUGGAGCGGAGGAUAUAGGCAUUUAUGCCCCCGAUGCAAGAUGCCUGCAUUAUGCCAAGAUUGUUAGCUAUGAGGACAUUUGAAUUUGUUCUCAAACAGUUUUCUGGGGAAGACAAAAAUGUCAACAAAUCUCUUCUCUGACCUAUGUGAGCUAUAAUGCUGCGUGUUGGCAUUAUGUAACAUGUAAUGACCUUAGUGUGGUGGGAUGGUGUUCCACCCUCCCAACUAUGUGCACCAGGUGUAGCAAGAAGCGCGCAGUUGAUUGGUGGGCGGGGCAGAUAGCUUUAUAGCUGAGCAGGCCGCUGCAAGGUGCAUGUAUCUUUGUUUCCCCUACUACAUGUCGGCUGCCCAAGUGGCUGGUGUGCUUGAUCCGCUCAUCUGAAUCCGUUGCUCGGCUGGCGUUAGCGGCUCCAGCUGGAGGUUGUUGCGGCGUGCGGCUUCCAUCUAGCCCUCGCCUGCUGAUCCACUCUCUCCCUGGGUCGGCUGUGCUACCACUCCUGGGUAAGCUACCUGUUUAGAUUUAAAUUUACUUUACCUGAAUCCACAGGUUUUCUAAUGAGUUUUUUGAUUUAGGAUUGUCUUGGAGUUGCAGCGCUUGGACGCUCUGCUGUCUUGUUUUGCCGGUAUUGGUUUGGGCCGCUCUGAAGGAAACCUGUUGCUGCUCGGACAGGCUGAGCGAGCGGGGCAUGACUCCUCUGGCCCCAUUCGAAAGGCAUUGAAAUUGGACAACACAAUUUGUUCCGCCGUCUGAAGUACUUGUGUUUUUUUCCUUUUACAGUUUGUUUGCUUAUUACUGAAAUUACUAAUGAGUUUGGUUUCUUUUGUUUUGAUUUACUAAUUUGUUUUUGUUUGCAUUGCAUGUUUUGUUUGUUCAUUUAUUUUUUUGGAAUAAUUCAAAUUGUCCCUUAUUUCACAUGAUCCCUUUCUUUUCAGGGACAGAGUAGUAGGCCCGGAGCCAUGUUUUUAAAAAGAAAUGUUUUAAUGAAAUGGUUUAAAUAAAAUAUUGUGGACUAUUCCA